UACGGAGGGUGCGAGCGUUAAUCGGAAUUACUGGGCGUAAAGGGUGCGUAGGUGGUUUGAUAAGUUAUCUGUGAAAUUCCUGGGCUUAACCUGGGACGGUCAGAUAAUACUGUUGGACUCGAGUAUGGGAGAGGGUAGUGGAAUUUCCGGUGUAGCGGUGAAAUGCGUAGAGAUCGGAAGGAACACCAGUGGCGAAGGCGGCUACCUGGCCUAAUACUGACACUGAGGCACGAAAGCGUGGGGAGCAAACAGG
rnacentral:rRNA from 1 species